GAGUUUGAUCGUGGCUCAGAUUGAACGCUGGCGGCAUGCCUUACACAUGCAAGUCGAACGGCAGCACGGGAGCUUGCUCCUGGUGGCGAGUGGCGAACGGGUGAGUAAUGCAUCGGAACGUAUCCUGGAGUGGGGGAUAACGUAGCGAAAGUUACGCUAAUACCGCAUAUUCUGUGAGCAGGAAAGCGGGGGACCUUCGGGCCUCGCGCUCUUGGAGCGGCCGAUGUCGGAUUAGCUAGUUGGUGAGGUAAAGGCUCACCAAGGCGACGAUCCGUAGCAGGUCUGAGAGGAUGAUCUGCCACACUGGAACUGAGACACGGUCCAGACUCCUACGGGAGGCAGCAGUGGGAAUUUUGGACAAUGGGGGCAACCCUGAUCCAGCCAUG
rnacentral:rRNA from 2 species